rnacentral:rRNA from 1 species
UACGUAGGGUGCAAGCGUUAAUCGGAAUUACUGGGCGUAAAGCGUGCGCAGGCGGUUUCGCAAGUCAGAUGUGAAAUCCCCGGGCUCAACCUGGGAACUGCAUUUGAAACUACGAGGCUUGAGUGUAGCAGAGGGGGGUAGAAUUCCACGUGUAGCAGUGAAAUGCGUAGAGAUGUGGAGGAAUACCGAUGGCGAAGGCAGCCCCCUGGGUUAACACUGACGCUCAUGCACGAAAGCGUGGGGGGCAAACAGG